GCAGCCGUAGUCUAGUGGCAGGAUUUGACCUUCCCAAGGUUACGACCCGGGUUCGAAUCCCGGCGGCUGCA
rnacentral:tRNA from 1 species